rnacentral:rRNA from 1 species
GGUUAAGCGACUAAGCGUACACGGUGGAUGCCCUGGCAGUCAGAGGCGAUGAAGGACGUGCUAAUCUGCGAUAAGCGUCGGUAAGGUGAUAUGAACCGUUAUAACCGGCGAUUUCCGAAUGGGGAAACCCAGUGUGUUUCGACACACUAUCAUUAACUGAAUCCAUAGGUUAAUGAGGCGAACCGGGGGAACUGAAACAUCUAAGUACCCCGAGGAAAAGAAAUCAACCGAGAUUCCCCCAGUAGCGGCGAGCGAACGGGGAGCAGCCCAGAGCCUGAAUCAGUAUGUGUGUUAGUGGAAGCGUCUGGAAAGGCGCGCGAUACAGGGUGACAGCCCCGUACACAAAAAUGCACAUGCUGUGAGCUCGAUGAGUAGGGCGGGACACGUGGUAUCCUGUCUGAAUAUGGGGGGACCAUCCUCCAAGGCUAAAUACUCCUGACUGACCGAUAGUGAACCAGUACCGUGAGGGAAAGGCGAAAAGAACCCCGGCGAGGGGAGUGAAAAAGAACCUGAAACCGUGUACGUACAAGCAGUGGGAGCACGCUUAGGCGUGUGACUGCGUACCUUUUGUAUAAUGGGUCAGCGACUUAUAUUCUGUAGCAAGGUUAACCGAAUAGGGGAGCCGAAGGGAAACCGAGUCUUAACUGGGCGUUAAGUUGCAGGGUAUAGACCCGAAACCCGGUGAUCUAGCCAUGGGCAGGUUGAAGGUUGGGUAACACUAACUGGAGGACCGAACCGACUAAUGUUGAAAAAUUAGCGGAUGACUUGUGGCUGGGGGUGAAAGGCCAAUCAAACCGGGAGAUAGCUGGUUCUCCCCGAAAGCUAUUUAGGUAGCGCCUCGUGAAUUCAUCUCCGGGGGUAGAGCACUGUUUCGGCAAGGGGGUCAUCCCGACUUACCAACCCGAUGCAAACUGCGAAUACCGGAGAAUGUUAUCACGGGAGACACACGGCGGGUGCUAACGUCCGUCGUGAAGAGGGAAACAACCCAGACCGCCAGCUAAGGUCCCAAAGUCAUGGUUAAGUGGGAAACGAUGUGGGAAGGCCCAGACAGCCAGGAUGUUGGCUUAGAAGCAGCCAUCAUUUAAAGAAAGCGUAAUAGCUCACUGGUCGAGUCGGCCUGCGCGGAAGAUGUAACGGGGCUAAACCAUGCACCGAAGCUGCGGCAGCGACACUAUGUGUUGUUGGGUAGGGGAGCGUUCUGUAAGCCUGUGAAGGUGUGCUGUGAGGCAUGCUGGAGGUAUCAGAAGUGCGAAUGCUGACAUAAGUAACGAUAAAGCGGGUGAAAAGCCCGCUCGCCGGAAGACCAAGGGUUCCUGUCCAACGUUAAUCGGGGCAGGGUGAGUCGACCCCUAAGGCGAGGCCGAAAGGCGUAGUCGAUGGGAAACAGGUUAAUAUUCCUGUACUUGGUGUUACUGCGAAGGGGGGACGGAGAAGGCUAUGUUGGCCGGGCGACGGUUGUCCCGGUUUAAGCGUGUAGGCUGGUUUUCCAGGCAAAUCCGGAAAAUCAAGGCUGAGGCGUGAUGACGAGGCACUACGGUGCUGAAGCAACAAAUGCCCUGCUUCCAGGAAAAGCCUCUAAGCAUCAGGUAACAUCAAAUCGUACCCCAAACCGACACAGGUGGUCAGGUAGAGAAUACCAAGGCGCUUGAGAGAACUCGGGUGAAGGAACUAGGCAAAAUGGUGCCGUAACUUCGGGAGAAGGCACGCUGAUAUGUAGGUGAAGUCCCUCGCGGAUGGAGCUGAAAUCAGUCGAAGAUACCAGCUGGCUGCAACUGUUUAUUAAAAACACAGCACUGUGCAAACACGAAAGUGGACGUAUACGGUGUGACGCCUGCCCGGUGCCGGAAGGUUAAUUGAUGGGGUUAGCCGCAAGGCGAAGCUCUUGAUCGAAGCCCCGGUAAACGGCGGCCGUAACUAUAACGGUCCUAAGGUAGCGAAAUUCCUUGUCGGGUAAGUUCCGACCUGCACGAAUGGCGUAAUGAUGGCCAGGCUGUCUCCACCCGAGACUCAGUGAAAUUGAACUCGCUGUGAAGAUGCAGUGUACCCGCGGCAAGACGGAAAGACCCCGUGAACCUUUACUAUAGCUUGACACUGAACAUUGAGCCUUGAUGUGUAGGAUAGGUGGGAGGCUUUGAAGUGUGGACGCCAGUCUGCAUGGAGCCGACCUUGAAAUACCACCCUUUAAUGUUUGAUGUUCUAACGU